rnacentral:lncRNA from 1 species
CGGAACCCAAAUGAACCAUUCUGAACCCAAAUGAAUCAUUCGGAACCCAAAUGAACCAUUCUGAAACCAAAUUGAACAGCAGUGUUCUGGUUUGGCUUGUUGAGGUAAGAGAGCAGAUUGGUUAUCUGUGAGUUGUAACCCCACCCCCUCUCUGAUCCUCCGCCCAUUCAGGAGAGACCAUGACUAUUCUAAACACGGCUGAUUGGCUGCUGGGCUGCAGUAGCCCGCCCCCUGGCCACAGUGGAAAGGACUAUGUUAAAACAGAACCUAAUAACAUCAGUGAGACAGCCAGGACUACAGGAGACACAACACUGGACAGCUACGCAGGAUCAGGUAACACACACAUCAUGCAAACACACACAGCAUGCAAACACACACACAGCACACAAACACAACACACAGCAUGCAAACACAACACACAAAAAGCACGCAAACACAACACACACAUCAUGCAAACACACAUCAUGCAACCACACACACAGCACACAAACACAACACACAGCAUGCAAAACACAACACACAGAACAACCCCGUGUAGAGAGGGUUUAGAGACAGAGGGGUCAGUGUUGACCUGUGACAUCUCUAUGACAACAAACUAGAACCAUAUGACAAAACAGGAGUAUGAUCAGACACUGUGUCUGUAUUGGUUGUUGUUUACCAGUUGUUUGUUGUUGUUUAUUGUUGUCAGUCAUUACCAGCAGUGGAUACAGCCCUCCAUCUGCACACCAGUACUCCCCACCCAUCUACCCCUCCAAGUAAGUCCUCUAAUGUAUUAUAUUACUAUAUAACUAUACUAUACACUAUUACUAUAUUAUAUUACUAUAUUAUAUUACUUUAUAA